rnacentral:lncRNA from 1 species
UUCUUGGGCCUAAUUACUUUUCAAGGGAAAGCUGAUAAUCUCCCCUGGAUUAUUAGUAAUUUCCUAUUAAUUAUCAAAAUGAAAAAUAAACUUAGUUUUGUGAAAGAGAAUAAAAUUCGUAGAUUAUAAGCCGUCUCUCCAAAUUGGGUUUAUGAUUUCAUUCAGCCCUUCAAAAUGUAGUCCCAUCUUAUGAAUCAUUUUAUGAAAAAUAAAUUCUUACAAGC